GCCUGCAAAUAUACCUGCUUGUGGCAUGAGCCUGGUAAAUGUCACAAGUUAAGAAGGAUUGAACUGAUUCAGUAUUUGGAUGGGAGACCUCUAGAGACAGUGGGUGGUAUGAC
rnacentral:rRNA from 1 species